GCAACCUACCUUUAUCUGGGAGAUAGCCUUUUGAAAGGAAGAUUAAUAUCCCAUAAUAUAUUGAAUGGCAUCAUUUGAUAUUGAAAGCUCCGGCGGAUAGAGAUGGGCACGCGCAAGAUUAGAUAGUUGGUGAGGUAACGGCUCACCAAGUCAAUGAUCUUUAGGGGGCCUGAGAGGGUGAUCCCCCACACUGGUACUGAGACACGGACCAGACUCCUACGGGAGGCAGCAGUGAGGAAUAUUGGACAAUGGGUGAAAGCCUGAUCCAGCCAUCCCGCGUGAAGGAUGACGGCCCUACGGGUUGUAAACUUCUUUUGUACAGGAAUAAACCUAGAUACGUGUAUCUAGCUGAAGGUACUGUACGAAUAAGCACCGGCUAACUCCGUGCCAGCAGCCGCGGUAAUACGGAGGGUGCAAGCGUUAUCCGGAUUUAUUGGGUUUAAAGGGUCCGUAGGCGGACCUGUAAGUCAGUGGUGAAAUCUCAUAGCUUAACUAUGAAACUGCCAUUGAUACUGCAGGUCUUGAGUGAAUUAGAGGUAGCUGGAAUAAGUAGUGUAGCGGUGAAAUGCAUAGAUAUUACUUAGAACACCAAUUGCGAAGGCAGGUUACCAUGAUUCAACUGACGCUGAGGGACGAAAGCGUGGGGAGCGAACAGGAUUAGAUACCCUGGUAGUCCACGCCGUAAACGAUGCUAACUCGUUUUUGGGGCUUCGGCUUCAGAGACCAAGCGAAAGUGAUAAGUUAGCCACCUGGGGAGUACGUUCGCAAGAAUGAAACUCAAAGGAAUUGACGGGGGCCCGCACAAGCGGUGGAUUAUGUGGUUUAAUUCGAUGAUACGCGAGGAACCUUACCAAGACUUAAAUGGGAAAUGACCGGUUUAGAAAUAGACCUUUCGCAAGACAUUUUUCAAGGUGCUGCAUGGUUGUCGUCAGCUCGUGCCGUGAGGUGUUAGGUUAAGUCCUGCAACGAGCGCAACCCCUGUCACUAGUUGCUACCAUUAAGUUGAGGACUCUAGUGA
rnacentral:rRNA from 1 species